UGCUCCUGAUCCCCAUCCUUUCUCUCAAGGUUCAUCGCCCCAACUUGUUGCCACCACCAUUCGUAGAUCUGUGAAAACACUCCCUGUGAACUGCCUUCGCUGCUCCAUCCUCAUAACCCUACCUAUUUGCAACUUAAAGUGUCUCACUGUGUCACUGUUAACAUGUUUUCUGUCCUUAUGUUUUCUGUACCAGGGAUAAAUUAACUUAUACACUCUUCACCAAACGCGGCCUUAGUAUCUACCAAUAGUAUUUGACUUUUAGCACUAUGGUUGGUGCCAGUGACAUAUGCUACUACAAGUGAUCAAAGUUUUAAAUUUAUAAAUAAAUUCUAACUACAAGUUUGUGAUUCUUCUCAUAUGUCUAUAUACGUGUAUAAUUACAGCAUAGGUCAAUUUGUGAUUUGAGAAUUGGACAU
rnacentral:lncRNA from 1 species